AUUACUCUUAAAAAGCUAAAUCAAAGUCUCAAUUCCUGUUUUAGAAUAGAUAUUGAUGGGUAGGACAUGUUCCUUGAAGCACUUACAGAAAUUUCUUGAAGAUAAAGGAAGACACAAUCCCAACAUCAACCCUAUGCCAGUAUGGAAGGAACAUGAUGCAAAACUGGUUAUUUAAAAAAAAAUCCUCACUGACUGAAUUAUUCAAACUUGGAAAUUCCCUGAGAGUAAGUUUGUUUAAUAACCAUUCUACCUAUUGAAGCAAUCAUUAGUUGAGUUUUCAUUUUUAUGCUUCUUAAAGAGCCUAAAUCAUACAAAUAAGUAGAGUUAAAAUUUAAGGACUCACAGUAAAUCAAUUGAUUCAUCAAGAAAAUAGAAAAAAUUUAAAAAUUAUGGUGAGAACAUUCAUGUAAGUUGAGCUAAAAUAAAUGCAAUAAAAAUAUCUGCUAUAAUGUCCAGCUUAUUACGAUAAUUAUCUCAAUUGACUGGAUUUAAAUCUUGGUCUCUGACAAUCUUUUGUUAGUAUUUUGUAGAAUAAAUAUAUGAUGUUUUUAAGAUCAAAAUCUUAUAUUAAAAAAAACAUGAAUGGGC
rnacentral:lncRNA from 1 species